UACGUAGGGGGCAAGCGUUGUCCGGAAUCAUUGGGCGUAAAGAGCGUGUAGGCGGCCAGAUAAGUCCGCUGUGAAAUCUCGAGGCUCAACUUCGAGCUGUCGGUGGAAACUGUCUGGCUAGAGUCCGGAAGAGGAGAAUGGAAUUCCUGGUGUAGCGGUGAAAUGCGCAGAUAUCAGGAAGACCAGUGGCGAAGGCGGGUCUCUGGACAGUUCCUGACACUGAGACACGAAGGCCAGGGGAGCAAACGGG
rnacentral:rRNA from 1 species